CUUCUAUAAAAUUAUAGAACCUUUUAUGCUAAAACUAGUAACAAGAGGUAACCCCCUCUCUACAAUGUAAGUAUACGCCAACAAGAACCCACCAUUGGCAAUCAACAGAUUUAAGUAAAAGUGGCAACUUCCACCCAGAAAACCCCACCCCCACUCAACUGUUAACCUAAUACCAGAACAUUUCAAGAAAGAUUAAAAGAAAGAGAAGGAACUCGGCAAACAUUAGCCCCGCCUGUUUACCAAAAACACCGCCUCUUGUCCCUAUAAGAGGUCUAGCCUGCCCAGUGACUUCUGUUCAACGGCCGCGGUAUCCUAACCGUGCAAAGGUAGCGUAAUCACUUGUCCCCUAAAUAGAGACUAGUAUGAAUGGCAUCACGAGGACUAAGCUGUCUCCUCUCCCUAAUCAGUGAACCUAAUAACCCCGUGAAGAAGCGGGGAUUUUUAUAUAAGACGAGAAGACCCUGUGGAGCUUAAAUCAUUAUAACACCUGCCGCCUCACUCUAUCUACCCAGGUUUUUCCCCCCGUGGCACCAUGAUUAUAUGUUUUUGGUUGGGGUGACCGCGGAGAAAAACCUAUCCUCCACAAUGAAGGGGACUUCCCUAAACAGUAAGCUACAACUUUAUGUAUCAGCAAACUGACAUCCAUUGACCCAAUAUAUUUGAUUAACGAACCAAGUUACCCCAGGGAUAACAGCGCAAUCCACUUCGAGAGCCCCUAUCGACAAGUGGGCUUACGACCUCGAUGUUGGAUCGUGGUAUCCUAGUGGUGCAGCCGCUACU
rnacentral:rRNA from 1 species